GAUGAACGCUAGCGGCAGGCUUAAUACAUGCAAGUCGAGGGGCAGCAUGGUGUAGCAAUACACUGAUGGCGACCGGCAAACGGGUGCGGAACACGUACAGAACCUUCCUUCGAGCGGGGAAUAGCCCAGAGAAAUUUGGAUUAAUACCCCAUAGUAUAUUGAAAAGGCAUCUUUUUAAUAUUAAAGAUUUAUCACUUGAAGAUGGCUGUGCGGCUGAUUAGGUAGUUGGCGGGGUAACGGCCCACCAAGCCUGCGAUCAGUAACUGGUGUGAGAGAACGACCAGUCACACGGGAAAUGAGACACGGGCCCGACUCCUACGGGAGGCAGCAGUAAGGAAUAUUGGUCAAUGGACGAAAGUCUGAACCAGCCAUGCCGCGUGGAGGAUGAAGGUCCUCUGGAUUGUAAACUUCUUUUAUAUGGGACGAAAAAAGGCUUUUCUAAGUCGUCUGACGGUACCAUAUGAAUAAGCACCGGCUAACUCCGUGCCAGCAGCCGCGGUAAUAC
rnacentral:rRNA from 1 species